ACCAAACAAGCUCAUUAAACUUGCUAGGGGAACUACCAUAAGCCAUGUCUGAGCGAAUUAUGAGGCUUCAGAGAAUCAUAGUAUUAUCUCAUCGGAAUAAACUAAUAUGUAGGUCACAUGUAGAUGGUUCUUCACUUAAGAUGAACUAUACCCAAAUGUAACCCAACAUGACAUCUCCAAAUGAAAGUCACUUCUUAAGAGUUGAAACUAAACACCUAGCAUGCCAUGGACGGUCUAUUUACAAAGCAUUUAGGAACUAAUCCUAUAAGUGAAUUUUUUUUUUUAAAAUAAAAUAGAAGACAAUAAGUUCACACAGUAGUUUAUGAGGUCAUUCUACUCUUAUA
rnacentral:misc_RNA from 1 species